rnacentral:rRNA from 1 species
UAAAACUUUCAGCAACGGAUCUCUUGGUUCUGGCAUCGAUGAAGAACGCAGCGAAAUGCGAUAAGUAAUGUGAAUUGCAGAAUUCAGUGAAUCAUCGAAUCUUUGAACGCACAUUGCCCGCCAGUACUCUGGCGGGCAUGCCUGUCCGAGC